CCUGACAAAUAUAGGAGGUCCAGCCUGCCCAGUGACAAAGUUCAACGGCCGCGGUACCCUAACCGUGCGAAGGUAGCAUAAUCACUUGUUCUUUAAAUGAGGACUAGUAUCAACGGCACCACGAGGACUCUACUGUCUCCUCCCUCCAAUCAGUGAAACUGAUCCCCCCGUGAAGAAGCGGGGAUUAUUCUAUAAGACGAGAAGACCCCAUGGAGCUUUAAACCCAAUAGGCAUCUCUGCAAACUUAAACCACCUUAGCCUUAGAGAUAUGCACUAUUAGUUUUAGGCUGGGGUGACCGCGGAGUAAAACUAAACCUCCACGACAAACGGGCUAACGCCCUGAUCUACGAACCACACUUCUAAGAACCAAUAUAUUGUUGUCCAAUGACCCAAUUAUAUGAUCAACGAACCA
rnacentral:rRNA from 1 species